GCCUGGGUGGCUCAGUUGGUUGAGCGUCUGACUUCGGCUCAGGUCAUGAUCUCACGGUUCGUGGGUUUGAGCCCCGCGUCGGGCU
rnacentral:tRNA from 1 species